GAUGAACGCUGGCGGCGUGCUUAAUACAUGCAAGUCGAACGAAGAGUUUUUGUAGCAAUACAGAAACUUCUUAGUGGCGAACGGGUGCGUAACGCGUUGGUGACCUGCCCCAAAGUGUGGGAUAACAGUUCGAAAGGAUUGCUAAUACCGCAUGUGGUGCUCCGGGUUAGAGGCCGGAUUACUAAAGCAGUAAUGCGCUUUGGGAGGGACCUGCGUCCCAUCAGCUAGUUGGUGAGGUAACGGCUCACCAAGGCUACGACGGGUAGGGGACCUGAGAGGGUGGUCCCCCACACUGGCACUGAAACACGGGCCAGACACCUACGGGAGGCA
rnacentral:rRNA from 1 species